rnacentral:lncRNA from 1 species
UUGUAUGAUGUCAACGAGGUAUAGAUACAUUAGUUAACUAUCUUCCAUGAUGAUAUAUUAUAAUAUUUAAUUAUGUGGAUCAGGUGCCUAUAUCAUUCAAUUAAAUACCCAUUUUUAUGAUAGUGCAGUAAUAUACAAAAGUGCGCAUGUAUACAAAAUUCUAUUGAUUAAUAGGUUGAGUGAUACCCAUUAAACUUACCGAAGUUUUGUUAUCCUUGACAAUUGUUGAAAUCCUGUCUCUCAAAAGAUAAGAAAUACAUUCCAUGUCGACCAAAUGAGUGUUUUUUGUCAAUGUAUGGCAUGAAAAUGAUUUCAAACUAUGUAGUGCUGUAAAUAAUAAAGCUCCAAAUAUCUGAUCUCUUGUUGCUGGAUCAAUUUAUUAUGAUUGGUCUAUAAAUACUUCUUCCUUCGGUGAAAAAACACAUCAAGUCUUGCAACGUAUUCGGCUCAGGUAUUCAAACUCUUUGUCUAAAUUAUUUGGGAAUUUUGCUCAAGUAGUAGCUUGGGAUGUGUUUUUUUUUGGAGAGGACGAGAAGAAGGCGGCAGCGAAACAUAUGGUACUCCCGAAUUAAGGCCCUUGUUAAUAUCAGCUGCCUGUAAUAUGAUUUUGGGGUGAGAAAAUGAAUGACUGCUAUAAGGAGGAGAAGCUGCCACAUUUAAAAUAGCAUUAGUACAUCGAAAAUAUUGCAAUGAUAUUUAAAUAUAUAUUUAUUUUAUUAUGCAUUUUUAAAACAGUUUACACCAAAGAUAGUGGAUGAUUCUUCUUUCAAAGGAAAUGUUAACAACAUAGCCAUCUAUUUAAGAACGAAUAAAAAAGAAACUAUAAUGAUCACUCAAUAGAGCGGAAAACCUCCUCCAAAAAUCAAAUUUAGUGAUAUAUCUCAAUUUCUUCAAAAGUUAUGGUCAAGUAUGCAUUUUUUACGUUUUGUGUUACCUUAACCUUGACAUUUUCAAAAAAUUUAAUGGCCUCUUACAGAGACAAUAUAUAAAAUUCAUACCAAGUUUGAUCAAAAUUUGACGUAAUCCUGCUGACUAAAAAACAAUCAAACGGAUGUAAAAACAUAACGCUCGUUCGACUUUGUUGUGGAGGUAUAGGAAAACAAGUAGCAAUCGUUUUUCCUUUUAUUAAUCUCGAAACGGUGAUUUUUCUCUACAAAAAAACCAUCUCUAGUAACACUAUAACUUUCUCAUCGCACUCUUAAAAAAUAACUUCCCUCAUAAUGCGCCACCAUAAACGUAGGAGACGGGAAAGCAGAGGAGGGUGGCAACUUAUCCACUUCCAAUGAGGGAAAACUAUCAAUAAAUAAAUUGGUAUGUACGGGUAAUUAGCCCCUUCCAAAUUUAGAGAAAAGUAACCAAUAUUCGGGCAAUAUUUGACCUUUCUAAAAAAAAAAGGUCACCAAAAAAUUUAAAAAAUUAUUUUUUGGAAAAAGGGGGAUAUAAAUUAAAUAGAAAAAAUGCUAGAUCCUAAUAUUUUGAGCAAAAUUUGAAACACGGAAUCUCCUCUCCUACGUUUAUGUGUCCUACAGAGUACUUAUCAAUUAGUAAUAGUCAUAAAUUAAACCAUUAAUAUAAAUUGACCUUCUAAAGAAUACUCAAUUAUUGCAUUAUCAUCUUCACAAGUACUAUUCUAAAUUCUUCCUCGAGAUAUAUUAGUGUACUGCCAUACUGUUCACCAAACCUCAAUUAGGAUGAGACUUCAAUCAUUAAUAUCCAGGAUUGGAACAUUGCCACUGAGCCUUUUAUAACAGUAGUCAUUCCUAAAAGUCAACUGAUUAUUUUUA